UACGUAGGUGGCAAGCGUUGUCCGGAUUUAUUGGGUUUAAAGGGUGCGUAGGCGGCUUUGUAAGUCAGUGGUGAAAUAUGGCAGCUUAACUGUCAGGGUGCCAUUGAUACUGCAGAGCUUGAGUACAGAUGAGGUAGGCGGAAUUGACGGUGUAGCGGUGAAAUGCUUAGAUAUCGUCAAGAACACCUAUAGCGAAGGCAGCUUACUAGGCUGUAACUGACGCUGAGGCACGAAAGUGUGGGGAUCAAACAGG
rnacentral:rRNA from 1 species